AUGUCAUGUAGGUGUGAGGGAUACAGAUUGUGGAGUUGCAAAUUGUUCUCUUUUUUACCUAGACUUCAGGGUAGGAUAAACUCCCUAGUUUCAUUGCCAAAACAGAACAUCGUCGCCUGUCUAGGCCAGGCACUGGUGAAUGCCUUGUUGUAUCCCUUUGUCUUUCAUGAUGAUGAGAAAUGUGUCUCUGCAGUUUUAUCGGCACUUGCAGUCACGUUCAAUGUCAUGUACGGGCUUAAAACAAACUUGCAUCUUCACCUUCAGUGUUGUGUAGUACUCCGUACUUGUUAUGAUCCAUCCGUACUAUAUUGCCAUCCAUGUCAACUGUGCUAA
rnacentral:rRNA from 1 species